rnacentral:lncRNA from 1 species
UCAUAUCCAUCAUUUAUCAUCCAAAUUAUUGAAGAAUAAGAAACCCUAGCCUAAGUUCAACUCCAAUUAUCUUGUGAUUCAACCGUAGAAAAUCCAAAUUGAUUCCGUAGUUGUGUUCACCGUCUCGAGGGCUUUGAGAAGCACCCCUUAUUUGUGCCAACAGGACUUCGAAAUCAAAAGGGCCAUUUUAUGGUAAGGAUGUAAAUUAUGUUGGUGUUAUUUAUAUGGAUAUGUAUAUAUAUGCAUGUGAGCAUAAGAAGUGUGUUAUUUGAUUGUUGUUGAAAGAUGAUUGGAAAUGAUAUUGGAUUAUUCUUGUGCAUGGUUGGAUUAUGUUGAAUUGUGAAGGGAUUUGGUGUGAUGAUGUGGUAUUGAAAUGAUGAUUAUAUAUAUAUAUAUAUAUAUAUACACAUAAACCUAUUGUUCAAGUUGGUUUUUGGAAUGCUUUGCAAAUAUUGGUUGUAUGAAAUUAUGGAAGAGAAUUGUGGUGUUGGGUUGCUAAUACUAGAUGCCAAACAUUUCAUUGUAGAUAAGUGAUUUGUAAAGGCGGG